GGCGGCGUGCUUAACACAUGCAAGUCGAGCGAGGCGGAGGGGGCAACCCUUCCAGUCGAGCGGCGGACGGGUGAGUAACACGUGGGCAAUCUGCCCGAAAGUGGGGAAUACCCCAGGGAAACUUGGGAUAAUACCGCAUGUCAUCGCGACCUCGAGAGAGGAUGCGAUCAAAGGGGGGCCGCAAGGUCUCUCGCUUUCGGAGGAGCCCGCGCCCGAUUAGCUAGUUGGCGGGGUAACGGCCCACCAAGGCUUCGAUCGGUAGCCGGCCUGAGAGGGUGAUCGGCCACACCGGAACUGAGACACGGUCCGGACUCCUACGGGAGGCAGCAGUGGGGAAUCUUGCGCAAUGGGCGAAAGCCUGACGCAGCAACGCCGCGUGGAGGAUGAAAGUCCUUGGAUUGUNAACUCCUGUCGGCCGGGAAGAAGUUCAUCGGGGCUCAUACCCUCGGUGAUUGACUGUACCGGC
rnacentral:rRNA from 1 species